ACAAGUCACUAGUAGGGUUCAUGAAACUAAUUGUUUAUCCAACACAUGAUAUUGGAUCCCAGGGAUUUCACUGGUACUUAUUAUUUACAGUAUCAAGAGUUAAACACUCACAAACUUCGCUCAUACCCAAUGAGAAUCCAAAUCUGACUGAAGUCAAUCUUCAGUCAGGUGCUCAAUUGAGUCAAUCAAUUUUGAGUUUUUGCUUAAUAGUUAAUAUGAUGUCCAAAAAUUAACUCAGGAAUGUCAGGGUUAGACGGAUGCAAUGCCACAAUUGGCUCAGCCAUAACAAAUUACAAA